rnacentral:rRNA from 1 species
GACGAACGCUGGCGGCGUGCUUAACACAUGCAAGUCGAACGGAAAGGCCCUGCUUUUGUGGGGUGCUCGAGUGGCGAACGGGUGAGUAACACGUGAGUAACCUGCCCUUUACUUUGGGAUAACUUCAGGAAACUUGGGCUAAUACCGGAUAGGAGCUCCUGCUGCAUGGUGGGGGUUGGAAAGUUUCGGCGGUUGGGGAUGGACUCGAGGCUUAUCAGCUUGUUUGUGGGGUAGUGGCUUACCAAGGCUUUGACGGGUAGCCGGCCUGAGAGGGUGACCGGCCACAUUGGGACUGAGAUACGGCCCAGACUCCUACGGGAGGCAGCAGUGGGGAAUAUUGCACAAUGGGCGGAAGCCUGAUGCAGCAACGCCGCGUGCGGGAUGACGGCCUUCGGGUUGUAAACCGCUUUCGCCUGUGACGAAGCGUGAGUGACGGUAAUGGGUAAAGAAGCACCGGCUAACUACGUG